UCUAAUUCCCAUGUUGCCCUUUGAGUUACAUUCUGAUUUUUUCAAUGCAUAAAGAAUUGUACUCUGGGUCAGAAAGCCCUGUGGUCUUAUCUAGUCUCAGUCACUAAUGAGCUGCAUGACUUUGAGCAACUCACAACCUUUCAGAGCUUUCGGUUCCUCAUCAGUAAAAUAGAGAUAAUAAUAGCACCCAUAUCUCUGUGCAGCUUCUCUGACUUGCUUCUAGCCUCAGCUAAAAUUUCGUUUUCAGCAGGAGGCUUUUCCUGAGAUUUCCAUCUAUAAAUGGAUAUAUGAAAUGCUUAAUUAAUGCUUAUUGACUAAUUGAUAUCUCACAGGGUUGUUGUAAAGAUCAACUGAGCUCACACUUUAAAACACUUUCCAAACUUUUAAGCAGUAUGUAAAUGCUAGCCAUCAUCAUUAUUAUACAAUAUAUCUACAGUAUUGCCAGUGCUAUGCUAGAAAAUCAGAGUUCAGAAGAUUAAAAAAUAUUUUACCUCAAUGAAGUUGUAGUCUAAUUGCAGUUGCAUGUAUAUAAAGGUCAAUUGAGUGAGCUAAGAGACAAUGACUUAUUAAGGCUUUUCCCCUUUUAGGGUAAUGCAUGGUUAUAUUCCUAGCUUUUAAGAGAAGUAUAAGAAAGUAUUUACAGUUCUUUCUCCCUAUAGAAAGUAUGAAGUUCUCUUCUUCAAUACUGUGGACUUGAACCCAUAUUCAGAGUAACGUCAGAAGAAGUUGGAGAAUACCAAAGAAGUGAAGAAGGCAGAUGCCAAGAAAGCAGAAGCAGCAGAGUGAAGACAGAAGUAGAACGGAGACUUUUCCCCUGAUGCUUGAAGACAGCUAAGCUCAGCUGAGUCUUGCUGGGCAGAUGGCUUAUUUAAAAAAAAAAAAGCCACAGAACUGGGAGUUGAGAGGAAAGCUUAGAGCCUGCCCUGCCUCCCCGAUGAGCUGAAGGAAAGAAGACUCGGCAUCUUCUGGGAGCUGAGAUGAUUGGAGGAAAGGCUUUGCCUCUGAGAGCAGAUUGGAGGAAGAGGAGCCCCUUGUUGCUAACAGAGCUGGCUGAGGGGAGGGGAGGCUUGUUUGCCUUGCCCUUUACUGCCACCUACAGCUGGGCAGGGGGAAGCUCACGAGGGGGUGCCUAGGCAUCUACAAUGCACUCUUUCAAGGCCCUACAAUUUACCCAGGUGUGGGGAAGCUAUACAUUGGCUGUUUUCAAGGGUGGAUUCCAUCGUUUAAAUCAGCCAAGAUGACCAAUGCUUGACUGAAAUUGAGCUGUACUGAAUCCGUGUCAUUUCCAUGAUCUUGUGAUCAGUCAAAAAAAAAUUUGUCAUAGUUACCUAGCUUAUCUGACACUUCAUUGUCCGUUAUACCCCAUCUGUCAAGUCCUCUAAAUGAUAACAGAACAUUAUUUUUCAUAUAAAUUCUCCUUUCUAAUCCCACUGCAGCUAUCCUAGUUUAGGCCCUAAUUUUUUCUGGCCUUGACUAUUUUAAUAACUUCCUAACUGAUUGCAGUCUUCCAAAGUUACCAUGAGCUGUGUUAUGAUGUCUCUUGUCAUUUUUUUCUCUUCAGUUUACAGUAGUUAGUGUUUAUAUUGUUCUGUUAGUUCAGUUUUCUUCACUUUGUAUUACUUCCUAUAAUUCUUACCAAGUUUUCCUAAAUUUUUUAUUUUUUAAAGUACCUAUACUAUUUCAUUGUAUUCAUAUACUACAAUUUGUCCAAGCUGAAUUGGCACCUACUUUAUUUCCAACUUUUUGCUACCACAAAAAAGUGUGCCUGAUAAUAUUUUUCCAAAUACAGAACUUUCCCCUUUGUCUUUGAUCUUUUGGGGGUUUGUUUCCCCAAGCGUAUCACUGGGUGUUGUGGUAAAAGGAGCCACAGUUCACAAAUUUAGGAUAAAUGUCAUUUAUUGUUAUGAAAAAUCAUGGGAAGGAGAGGUCAAUUAACUCACAAGGUGAGGCAAAUGAACUCUCCUUUGCAAGACAUUUCCCAUCAGAAUAUAUAAAAUAAACAGAUGAGAAAAAAGAAGCCCUGGGCCACAAACUAUUAUUUAAUGUAGACUAAUAAGUAUGUAUAGACAGUACAUACUUCUCAGAUAAGGUUUUGAAACAUCUUACAGCCUUAUUCAUUGCAAUGAUAAGAGGGACUGGAAAGGACAAAAACUAUGAUAGAAAAAAAAACUUAGAGGGAAGAAAAAAACUAACACAGAAGGCAGUAGAUAUGGCUUGGGGAAUCACUUGUGUCAAAAAAAAAAAAAAGAAGAUACAGACUCUCUCUGUUUCUCUUUCUCUUCUCACCUUUAUCUUCCCUCUCUUCUUUCUCCCUCUCCCUUCUUGUCCCUAAAUUAGGUCAAAGAUGUUAAAAACAAUUUUGUUCUUUUCAAAACAUAUAAACUCAAUUAAUUUCCAACA